UACAGAGGGUGCAAGCGUUGUUCGGAAUUAUUGGGCGUAAAGGGAGUGUAGGCGGCUUGUUAAGUCUUCUGUGAAAUCUACGGGCUUAGCCUGUAACGUGCAGAGGAAACUGGCGAGCUUGAGUGUCGGAGAGGAUAGGGGAAUACCCCAGUGUAGAGGUGAAAUGCGUAGAGAUCCGGAGGAACCCCAGAGGCGAAGGCGGCGCUCUGGCUCGCAACUGACGCUCAGACACGACAGCAUGGGGAGCGAACGGG
rnacentral:rRNA from 1 species